GAAACUUGAUAAUUUUAUGUAUUAAAAAAGGUUAAGGACUGAAAGGAAAAGUAGACCCUUGCUGUUUGAAUUUUCUGUUAAUUUGUAUUGUCUUGGGAGAAAGGCUUGAUAGUUGUGGGAAAAAAUCAUUCCCAUCCAAGUCUCAAGCACACAGCAACAGAAUAAUUGCCAGUUUCCAGAACAAAAGAGCACUUUGAAACGAUCUGUUUGAAAGUGGACUUGCUAUACCAAGAUUUCCUACUGGACAAAUUUCUUGACAAGACAAAGCCUCCAGAGGAGAUAGAAAGGAUCAACUCAGACAUCCUCCUUCCCCAGUUACAAGUAAAGAAGAAACCAAAAAAAGGGUCUUCAUAGGUAGGAAGAAAAACUUCCCCAGACAUGUUCUUCCCUGCGGUGCAGCAGUAAGCCCAUCUCCAGUCCUGGGAACAGACAACAGAAGGAAAGAGAACGGGAAGAAUGUCAUGGGAAGAAUGAGGCAUUAUAGCCAUUUUGCCACCUAUUCCACCAAAGACCGUUUUACUAUUCUACCUCUCUGCUCCUUAUUUUCACUUUAAAAAU